AUUAGAGUUUGAUCCUGGCUCAGAUUGAACGCUGGCGGCAUGCCUAACACAUGCAAGUCGCACGGGGGUAGCGAUACCUUAGUGGCGGACGGGUGAGUAACGCGUAGGAAUCUGCCCUUUAGUGGGGGACAACUUGGGGAAACCCAAGCUAAUACCGCAUACGCUCGAGAGAGGAAAGCGGGGGACCGCAAGACCUCGCGCUGCAGGAUGAGCCUACGUCCGAUUAGCUAGUUGGUGGGGUAAAGGCCUACCAAGGCGAUGAUCGGUAGCUGGUCUGAGAGGACGAUCAGCCACACUGGGACUGAGACACGGCCCAGACUCCUACGGGAGGCAGCAGUGGGGAAUAUUGGACAAUGGGCGCAAGCCUGAUCCAGCAAUGCCGCGUGGGUGAAGACGGCCUGCGGGUUGUAAAGCCCUUUAGGCGGGGAGGAACGGCGUCGUGCGAACAGUGCGGCGUUCUGACGUUACCCGCGGAAUAAGCACCGGCUAACUCCGUGCCAGCAGCCGCGGUAAUAAUC
rnacentral:rRNA from 1 species